CCAUAUGAUGUGACCUUACUCAGCUGAUC
rnacentral:piRNA from 1 species